rnacentral:misc_RNA from 1 species
ACUCAUCUAAUUUUGAUCUAACUUUAUUUGUACUCAUAUAUUUUUCCAACAAGGCUGACACCUCAUUGUAUUUGUAUAUUGGAAAUUGUUCACAUAGGUCAAAACAAGUGGAUAAAAAGAAUUAUGCCAUGAUUCAAUGACUGAGUCCUUCAACAAAAUGGACAAAUAUAUCCAUGGCUAAGAAAAAGAAAACAUCAUCUAAUACGCGACUGCCUAAUUAUAUCCUAACAAUAAUACUGAUCUUGGCAAAGUUAGAUAUACAAGCAUAUUUCAUCAUGUCAAUCAGGAAUCAGGAUGGAGACAUACUAAAUCCAGGAAUGAAUUUCAGAUGGGAUUAUUUUUUCCCGAUCAAGCCAUUCCUUGCACUAAAGCAGCUGUGCAUCAUCCUUUCUUUGGAAACCUUUCCUCUUCAGUCGAGCUUCGUUAGAAGAAUCCCAAUGUAGAUUUGCAGUAGUCAUUGUUUCUGGGCCAUCAGCAUUUAUGGUGAUAAUGUCUGCAAUUGUGAGA